rnacentral:rRNA from 1 species
UCGGAAUCUGGGAGGACCAUCUCCUAAGGCUAAAUACUCUCUAGUGACCGAUAGUGAACCAGUACCGUGAGGGAAAGGUGAAAAGCACCCCGGAAGGGGAGUGAAAUAGAACCUGAAACCGUGUGCUUACAAGUAGUCAGAGCCCGUUAAUGGGUGAUGGCGUGCCUUUUGUAGAAUGAACCGGCGAGUUACGAUUUGAUGCAAGGUUAAGCAGUAAAUGUGGAGCCGUAGCGAAAGCGAGUCUGAAUAGGGCGUUUAGUAUUUGGUCGUAGACCCGAAACCAGGUGAUCUACCCUUGGUCAGGUUGAAGUUCAGGUAACACUGAAUGGAGGACCGAACCGACUUACGUUGAAAAGUGAGCGGAUGAACUGAGGGUAGCGGAGAAAUUCCAAUCGAACCUGGAGAUAGCUGGUUCUCUCCGAAAUAGCUUUAGGGCUAGCCUCAAGUGAUGAUUAUUGGAGGUAGAGCACUGUUUGGACGAGGGGCCCCUCUCGGGUUACCGAAUUCAGACAAACUCCGAAUGCCAAUUAAUUUAACUUGGGAGUCAGAACAUGGGUGAUAAGGUCCGUGUUCGAAAGGGAAACAGCCCAGACCACCAGCUAAGGU